rnacentral:tRNA from 2 species
GCCGAGGUCGUCUAGCGGUAGGGCGCCAGCCUGGAGUGAGUUUCUCCUGGAUAGCUGGUGACUCGCAAGGGUCUCGUGAGUUCGAAUCUCACCCUCGGCG